AAAGGAAAAAAUAGCAUUUUAUUUCAUAUAACUGUCCAGAGUCCCUGCCUCACUGGGUGUGAGGGGGGAGAGGAAUAAAAACCCUGAAUUUGUGGAUUGAUGGCAUUGCAGCCUCUUCUGGUUUGACCAGAGUCUUUUGGGUGACUCUGGGUCUUGUAGAUAGACCCUUAGUCAUUGAGGCAUCUUCCUGGGCUGCUCCCUGUAAGAAGCACCCGCAGGCACCCCUGAGCAGAUAUCUGUAGCCUGGUGCAGGGGAGCUGGGCUCGAAGCAGCCUCCUCCUCCUGACUGCAGCCUCUGUACGUGUUCCUGAACGCCCAUGGAGACUUUUGAACUCUGCACACUCACCUGGUUCAGGGAGGGCUGUGGAUGCCUCUCUUCGAGGUUUAUGCGCCACCAUCUUCCAGGGCUCCCAGGGGCCUUUUCAACUGGGCAUCUCUACAACAUCCUCACCCGUAAGAGGGAAGGUGAAGACACGCCCACCUGGCCUCCCAGCGCCCCCCUGAAUUUGUCUCCCUUUUUCUCUUGCUGACAAUCCCCUGCGGUCCUGAAGAGGUGAUCUGUCUGCCUCCUCGUCCUGUCUGCCAGAACUUCCCCUACAUCCCAACUUCCUCCUGCCCCAUGAAAUCCAUGGAACUAGACAGGGGCACGUGGUUUCCUG
rnacentral:lncRNA from 10 species